UACGUAGGGUGCGAGCGUUAAUCGGAAUUACUGGGCGUAAAGCGUGCGCAGGCGGUUCGCCGUGUCCGAUGUGAAAGCCCCGGGCUCAACCUGGGAACGGCAUUGGAAACUGGCGGGCUGGAGUAUGGCAGAGGGGGGUGGAAUUCCACGUGUAGCAGUGAAAUGCGUAGAGAUCGGGAGGAACAUCUGUGGCGAAGGCGGCCAUCUGGACCAGCACUGACACUGAGGCACGAAAGCGUGGGGAGCAAACAGG
rnacentral:rRNA from 1 species